CCAGGUGCCGCAUGGUUUGGCGCCAUAUUUAUUUGCGAACCGGAACUUCUGGAAGUCUGAUGGCAUCGCACGAACUUUUUUGGCGAGUGAUUGAUGCUACCCGUAGAAAUUCUUGAUUACUUAAAUAUUCAGUCAAUGAAAACAAAAAUCAUCAGCGUACGACUUACGGCAUGCCGGAUCGCCAAAAUGCUUAGUUCUGGGUCUGGACUCUGGAUCUAUAACAAGACAUCAGAUAAUUGAGUGGCAAUGAGGUUCCCUGCCGCUAAAAUUGUGAUGAUUUCCCGGGCGUGAAAGAAUACCGCUAGUGCUGUAAUACUGGAAGAAGCUAGCCGCAGAAACUUUUUGU